CAGAUUACAAUGUGUCAUCCAAUGAUAACGGUUCUUCUAUCAAAACACGCACUAAUAUUUUCGGUAUUGUCUCCAUUUAUGUGUAUGUACUAAUUACUAGGGUUCGGAAGUUGUAGGAUUUGCAUGUUUUUCUUUAUGCUAGAUCAAGCUACAAAUUCGUUUUAUGCACAUUCGAGGUUAAAAAUGUAUUUUUUUUUUGCAUAUUUUUACUAUUUUCAACA